AUGGAACCCAGACCAAGGAAACGGUUACAAAAUCACCAGGAAAAAUAAUCACAACCAUUAUCCUACGCAACACACUUCCUGCUCUCCUCUACAAUUAAAUAAUGUUACAUUUACCGUGCACAUCUCAACAAAGUAUUAAAAGGUCUUUUACGGUUCAAAGACAAAGCGUUAUGCUACCUCUACGGUUUGACCAAAAUAGCUUUCUAGGCUUUUUUGCUGAUUCAUAUGGAGAUUAACUACAAAUAGCCCAAAGUGACAGCAAUUGUGAAUCUCCAUUUGACAACUCAGGGAGACAAUGCUCUUUUGCCAAUGUUCUCUCAUCUACCAUUUUUGCACAUACUUCCAACUAUCUACAACAAAAAAGGACCAUCGCUUUCGGAAUAUAUGUGAAUUGCUUGAACUUGUAAUUAUAAUGCUUUUAAAAUAAAUAAUAUUUUAUUAUUAUUAUAAUGUGAUAAUUACCAACUUUAUCAAUACAGAAAUAUUCUAAGCAGGAAAAGUCUUCAGCAUUUACUCAUUAAAACUCAAAGUCUAUGGUCAGAAACUCAAACCGUCUUAAUCUGGGGACUGUAGCUCUUCAAGUCACAAACAGAAUCCACGUUGCUAAGUACCUAACCCUCUUUGCUCGCAUUUUCUCAUUUAGGCAGAAAGCAGCAGCAAGGCACAAGAAAAAUAUGCAUUUUCAUUUCAGAAAAGGUGAACAUCAUUCAGAGAAAUGUCGAUAGGCAAACUGACAUAUUUAAAGAGAAACAGUUAUCUGAAAGGAUUACUACUUUUCAGGUCACUUCCGUCAAGAAUAUUGGAAUUACUUGACACUACCAUAACAAAUGGGUAAAGGAGUUUCACUUCUCAAAGCCAUCUACAGGAUACAUACCAAUACAAAAUCUGUGUUAGACUGAACCUAGAGACAAAUACUACCUAUUGAAUAUUUCACGAGAAGUGUCUUUAUACAAAUAUUUUAUCUCUUUCUACUGUUUCAGCUUACUUCCUUUCCUCUCACUGUUAAAUUUCCACGUUUUCAAGUUUUGAGUAACAUCUCCAGCUGUUUAGAUAUUAGAAAAACAGCACCUCAUGCAGGUAAAGUCCUUAACCUUCAUGAUAUUUUGCAUUUUCCAACAAAAACAGUGAGAUUAAUUGGGUGAUGGAAUCAUGCUGGUUGUCUUGUAUCACCCCUCUCGCUUCCCAUGUUGGUAGUUCCCUGGGUCAUCCCUUCUACCCUUCUUAAAAAUGGGAGUGACAUUGCCUUUUUUCCAGUCACUAGGGACUUCACGUGAUUGCCAUGACUUUACAAAUAUCAAUGAGAGUGGCUCGGUGACUACAUCAGCCGAUUCCCUCAGGACUCUAAUACCCGCUUGGAACAGCAUUACAUAUUUCAUAUGCUUUUAAGGAGACAGUAGAAUGUAUUUCCAUUUCACUUUUUCUAGAGUUCUUUGGGUGCAUUUUACAUUAAAAUGUUAAAGUUAUCUGAUGCUAAUAAAAAUGACAUCCAUUUCCUUGCACCAUUCUCAAGCAUUCUUCCCAGGCCUCCUGUACAGUUCUGCCAGAAAGAAAUUAAUUGUCACCACUUAUUCCAUCAGGUUGAUGUAUGAUUAAAUUUGAAGACAUCUUCAAGCGUGUUCUUUUUUUUUUUCUGUAAAAUGAGUAUCUGCCAAUCUCAGAUUUUAAUAUAAAUUUAUGAAGCUUUUAAGAUUCCACUCUAAUUUCUGAAGAAACAGACACUUAAGGUUUCUGGCUCUUGUAUUUUAUAUGAUACCCAUAGACCAAGCCAAAUCUAUACAUGAGGGACUUCUUUAUCAAGGAGGCAAAUACCUGAAUCUUAUUUGCAUAGGGUACAGUCAAUGUCUCAUCCCUUAUCUGUCCCUCAGUUCUCUAACUUGACAGGUUGUAGAUCUCAUCUGAGGAGCAAAGGCAGACGCCCUCUGUGUGAAGAUUCGUUCACUCAUAAAAAAGCUCUAGAAUUCUUGAAUCAAGUGGAAUUGUGCCUCCAGCACUUCCAACGCUUCAUAACAUCAUAGCAGCAUUAUUUCCACUGCACUGAGUAAAGCCUUUCCUACAGCGGGAGAAAGCACAAUACUUCUGCUGUUAUUUUUAUGCAUGCUCAGCAAUAAUGACGAUAUUUUUAUAAAGAUAACUUGGAAUAAAAUAAAUCAAGUCCAUUCUGCUUUUUCUAAUGAUAAAUUUGUGGGUUUUUUUCUAACCCUGAAUACAAGUACUGUCUAUCUUAAAACAUUUUCUGGCUUAUGUUCUGGGCAAUCAGAAGUUUGCACAAGAAAAAGGACUGAAAUGUUCAGCUGAGUACUGAGUAAUAAAGAAUGGAGUGCAAACUCCAUGAAGACAGCUUCUCUUCCCAGUUUGUUCCUUUUUAUAGUGAUAAAAAUAACUGUAGAGUUUUGCUAAUAAAAAGUUGAAAGAAGUAAUUUUCUUUUGAAAGAAGUAAUUAAAUCUGAUUUCACUUUCUCAAGUGACUUGGCUGUAAUUGGAUUUGUUUUCUAGAUAGCCCUCAAGUUUUAUAGCACAGAUAAGAGUUUAAUUCAGAUACACAUUUAAAAGUCUAAAAUUGCAUUUUCUUCUUAUUCACUGUAAAGGAAAUGGCAUGAGUACAUCCAUACUUAUUUGAAGAUUAUUUCAAAACAAUCCAAAACUAAGAUAAAACCAGGAGAUAAUGAGUUAACACUCUGAAGGUACAGUACAAAGCCCAGUGAUUUCUUAAACCGAUGAUGCUUUUGUAUGUUUAUGUGCAGCUUCCCAAAUGGUUAAUACAUUCACUGCAUGCAUUUAACCUUCUUUGUCUAAUCCAGAGGACAGAUGUGUAUUAGUUUAAAGGACAUGAGGCAACAGCCUCAAGUUGUUGCAUCAGCAAAGGUUUAAACUGGCUAGCAGGAAGAAUUUCUUCAUGGAAGUGCUGGCUGGGCACUGGAAUGAGGUGCCCAGGGAGGCGGUGGGGUCCUCAUCCCUGGAGGCAUUUAAGGGAUGGCGGAAUGUGGUGCUUAGUGAUGUGGUUUAGUGGUGAACUGAGCAGUAUUAGGUGAUGGUUGGGCUUGACGAUCUUAAGUUCUUUUCCAACGUAAAUGACUUUAUGAUUACACAUCUAUGGUGAAUCAGGCUUGUUUUUCAAUCCAGAUGAUUUAUCUUAAUUCUUGCUAGAAACUUUUUUCCCCCACUGGCAACUGAACGCUUUCAUUUUGCAAGAGAUACUUAAAAUUUAUAUUGGAAGAGAAGGUGUUAAGUAACAACCAACCAAUUUAAUUGACCUUUCUGUAGGGUUUCUAUAUGAAUUAAUCAAAAACAUACAUAAAAGCAGAAUUAGUGGUCUGAAAAUGUAUUGUUACAAAUUGAUAGGCAUAGUUAUUAAUAUCUUAAUAUUAAUAAUAUGGUGUGGUUACACCUUUGGUAUUAGAGUCAGCUUACCUUAAAAAGGCACAUAAUAUUACAAGCAAAUCUCUUCCACAUUUCCAUUCAAAUUCAUAAACUGGCUUCUGAAAAAGCCAAUAAAGUAUCUGAAUUUUACUUUCAAUACACGUGAUUCCCUACUCGAUGCUGUAUUUCAAAUGUCAUUAUGUGACACUUUGGAAAAUUUAUCAUUGAUUUCCACUUUUUUAUGAUGAAUGCAAAACCUUAGUAUUCUUCCAGUGGAACAGAACUGAUAUAAACUGAGCAAUAGGAUACAGCUACUAUAAAUCUUCAAAGUUAAGCUGCAGCUGAGAGGCUGUAUUAUCUUCAACUGAGAAUGACCCACGUUAGUCAGUCAGAGAACAUACCAUAUCUAAGGAAGAUACUAAAAAAACAAAGACCACCACAAUAGAAAAUCCCACAGAAAUACACCACAACAAAAUGGUGCUCAUAUUCACCUGCAGAAUCGAGCACUGGAGUUAUUAACUGAAUAACAUCUGUUCACAUACAGAAAAGCAGAUCUGCCUCACAGGAAAAACAUAAAUUACACUUUCCUGGGUAGGGACUGCUAACAUUGCAAAGGAAUCACUGCCUAAGAAAGCAUAAGAGAUAUAAUAAAAGAAAUACAAACAUCUUCCAUAGGCUGUUCAAGCAAACAAUUUCAUGAUAAUACUAACAUGUAGUAAGUCCUGUUGGUAAAAAAAGUUCAAAUGCAAGUGUCAAAUUCAACUAGUCACAUUUUUAACUAAAUGAGAAUUCCUGGUAGGAUCAGAACCACAAAAGAAAUGUGGCAAUCAACAAAACAAACUGGGCAUGAUAUAAGAAAGGGUAAAUAUAUCUGAAAACAGAUGUGUAGAAAAGCCAAUGUGCAGCAAUUUUUGUCUGCUGCUAUGUUCUCAAAAGCAUUAGUGGGCAAAGCGAACAAGAUGAAUUGAUUAAAAAAGCACCAGGAGCCUAUAGCUAUGCUAGAUCAAAAGUCACUGAGGUAAGACCAUUACACCCUGCAUCCAGACACAGCAAUUCUUAAACUGAAUCAAAAUUAAUCUUCAUUCAUCAUUAAUGUUAUGGACCACCUCAAAUGAUAUAGUUCAUUUUUUAUCUGUAGAUAUAGGCAAGAUGACCUAGUGAAUCAGAGAAAUGUGGCAUGUGUGGGACAGCCAGGGGAUCAGGCCCGGCUAGCAAAGGUUCAAGAAAAUUGGUCCUGCUUGACCAACCUCAUCUCCUUCUAUGACCAGGUGACCUGCAUGCUGGAUGAGGGAAAGGCUGCUGACAUAGUCUACCGAGACUUUAGCAAAGCCUCUGACACUGUCUCUCACAGUGUUUUGCUGGAGAAGCUGGCAGCCCGUGGCCUGGACAAGCGUACUCUUCACUGAGUAAAAAGCUGGAUGGAGGGCUGGGCCCAGAGAGCAGUGGUGAACAGAGUUAAAUCCAGCUGGCGACCAGUCACUAGCGGUGUUCCUAGUGGGUCAGUAAUGGGACCGGAUUUGAGAUCUUUACUGAUGACUUGGACAAGAGGACUGAGUGCACCCUCAGUAAGUUUGCAGAUGACACCAAGUUGGGAGGAAGUGUUGAUCUGCCUGAGGGUAGGAAGGCUCUACAGAGGGAUCCAGACAGGCUGGAUCGCUGGGCUGGAGAAGGUCAAACCUCUAAGAUAGUCCGUGCUAUGAAUGUUAACCAGUAUUUGAUGAAUACUCCGAUGCUUCAGUGCACAGAACACUGUAUGUUUCCCAAAGCUUACUUAUAUCUCUGCCACAGAUUCAAAUAUAAUGCUAAAAACCCCUCUAAUUUACAAAUAUCUUGUAGGGGAACUGUCAGGUCAGGACGUGAACUGGUGACUGAGCACCUGUGCUCAAAACCUGGGCUGUGUCUGGCCCAGGGAGCACAGGCAGAUUGUUUGCACCCGUGCUCCCCAGCUGACCAGAAGGGGUGGGCUGAGAGUGGAGCCUCUCUGGGCUCAUAUAAAGGCCUGACACUGAAGGGAAAGCAUCUCUUGGGCCUGGGGUGCUUCAUGAGGAGUGCUGUAUUGCCAGAGAGUCCUUUGCCAGCUGGUAAAAUGCCACCAUCUUUGCUUCAUCAGCUGUUACCACAUGAUCCUACUGCCCUGAAGCCGAAUAGGUACAAAAAGAUUACAGAACACGUUUAUAUGGAAUUUAGUUUUUGAACUCUAACACUCCAAGAAGCUGCAGAAAAGAAGCUCCACAGCCCCAUCUGUUGGCUGAUUAAGCUCCCCAGUGUGCCAGUGAGCAGCCUCCAUACAGCGCUGAAGUGGAACCAGUUCCUUUCUGAAGAUAAAAUUCCAAGUUCCAUUACAAAUCUAAGAUAGCUGAGAAUCAAUAGCAACUUCUACUACGUGAGCACACAGUAAUGGAGUUUUUAAUAUAUCACUGUUUUUAAACAAUUUUGAAUCAGAAUGGUGCAUUACAUAAUCAUAGUGAUGCAAAAGGAGCAUUUGCAUUUUUAAGCACAGCUAACAUAGAUUUGCUUGCAUGUCUAUGCAUAGAUAAGUGGUCUAGAGUUAAAUUCAAGUGUUCUAUGAUUUAAGCCUAAACCAUUAGCUUUUAAAUAAAAUUUGAGUCACUAGCUUUAUUCA